rnacentral:miRNA from 1 species
CAGCCAGCUCUGACGUUACCCUCCCUGAGGGGUCCUGUACUGAGCUGCCCCGAGGCCCUCAUUGUGCUCAGCUCGGUGCAGCUCAGUACAAGACGCAUCGGGGUGGGAGACAGCGGGGAGCAAG